UACGGGGGGGGGCAAGCGUUGUUCGGAAUUACUGGGCGUAAAGGGCUCGUAGGCGGCCAACUAAGUCGGACGUGAAAUCCCUCGGCUUAACCGAGGAACUGCGUCCGAUACUGGAUGGCUAGAGUGUGGGAGAGGGAUGCGGAAUUCCAGGUGUAGCGGUGAAAUGCGUAGAUAUCUGGAGGAACACCGGUGGCGAAGGCGGCAUCCUGGACCACGACUGACGCUGAGUGAGCGAAAGCCAGGGGAGCAAACGGG
rnacentral:rRNA from 1 species